GCCACAUGAUGAACCCUGAGACGUCACUAGCAUACCGUGCAAAGAUGACUCACAUCUAUCACCCAAGACUGAUGGUU
rnacentral:snoRNA from 1 species